GUGAUGAUAUGUGAAAAGUCGGUUGUUGAUUUAUCACGCGGUCGUUAAGUGACGUAGACCAAUGCAAGGAAAGCACACUUUAAGUUUGGUGGUGUAAUAAUUGGCUUUACUUUAAACCAGUGGGAAAUGUAGCAUGUGACAACAUGCUGACUGACACCACGAGGGCCAUGAGCAUCAAAUAAUCAAAACAAACAAACAAGCAAGUUUUUGUACCAUGAUCAAUGGAAACAUGUAAAUGCUUCAUGCUGCUUCCCCUCCCACCAUCUGCAGAAAAACAAAGAUUUUUAGAAGAAUAUUUCAGCUCUAUAGGUCCAUACAAUGCAAGUGAAUGGUGGCCAGAACAAAGCUCCUAAAAUCUCAUGGAGGCAGCAUUAAAGUAAUAUAUAUGACCCAAAUGGUUAAAUCCAUGUCUUCUGAAGUGAUAUGAUGAGUGUGGCGGAGAAACCGAUCAAUAUUUAAGUCCUUUAGCGAUAUGAGGGUGACCUGGACAUUGCAGUAGAUGGUGGCUAAAGCAACAUGGAUGUCGUUGUAGGAUGACAGUUGGAUGUAAAGCCUCAAAGCAUCAGGGUGAUUCUUAUCUGGUGAAGGUCCAUUACCCAGCAUUAAAGGAUCAGUGCUGUGUACUGCUGGGUGUGUCAGAGGCUGUGGGAUACUUGACGCUUUUUAUAAAUAAAACCUUCACAUUUGCACUUUUUUUUGUAUGUGUGAAUGAGUAUUUUAUGGACCCUUAAAAUCUGUUAGAAUAUAUUGUUUAUGGGACCUUUUGUUACAAAUAUUUAAUCAAAGUAUUUUGCAAUGAAAGAAGAUCUGGUGGAUCUAUGCACUAUGAGAGGGAAGUUCAUGCUUUACAUCAAUGUAUGUGAAAAUUAUGCAUAUUGUAAUUGAGAUGUAUUUAUAAAAUAAUGACCACUCAAAUGACUUGAAGACUCCAGUCAUAUCAGUAUUCUUUUAAAGGCUGUUUUAUUCUACAGGGAGAGGGUCCACACAUGGGGGCUGCCAUGUUAGAAUCACAUGACCGCUGAUUACUGCUCACUUAAUCUCAGUAACCAUCCGUUUGUGUAAAAUAACUUGGAAGUGAAUGGGGCCAAUUUUUGGUGGAUUUAAAGACAGAAAUUUGAAUCUUAUUUCAUAAGUGCUUGCAUUAAUUCUUCUGCUAAAACUUGCGUAUAAUUUGAGCUUGUUUAAGUCAUAUUUUUUGCAGCUGUUUUAGGGUUUGUUGACAUUAAAUCAUCAUGACAACGAAGUUGUAAUAUGUUAACUACACAAAAGUUAGUAACAAGAUUUUAGUGUGAUAAAAUCCCUUAACACAUGUGACUAUACUUUUGAAACUGUAUUUUAAUGUUUACAGAUUGACCCCAUUCAGUUCCAUUGUAAUCCAGAUUUUCUUUGUCCUUUUCUUAAAAAAAUAAAGUCAAAAGUAACUUGUCAAUAUUAUGCCACAAAUGCUGUUGAUUGAGCUUAACUUGUAUUUAGACUGGAAUAUUCCUUUAAUUUUUAAAC